GGGGAAGGAAUGUGCGUUGCCUUUGACUAGUGACGCGUCUCCUCCUCUUUAUGCAAUAUCAUCGUCAUGGACGAAGUACAUUAAAAGAUUCAUCAAUGCUGAAGCUUUGUGUUGAAGAAGGUUGUUGCACAACGAAGGGAUUUUAAGCUAAUUGUCACAUCUGCAACUAUAAAUGCAAAUAUAAAUGCAAAUCUUUGGAGGGUCAUUUCCAGCAAAUAUCUUGUUCAUCAAAGCACCCCAUGAUGAUUAUGUGCAAGCGUAUGUGAAUCUUCAAUAUAUUGAAUAAGGUUUUUAUUGCUGAGAGAUAUUAACUUGGAUUUGUAAAGAUUAUCAACGGGGGUCAUAUGUACUUAAAAGUUUGGAAAGUACUUUUCAGAAUUGCUUAUCCACCAUCAGCGUGCUCCUGUUUUAUUUGUAUUUCAGGAAGUUGCCAGUUAGGGGCCAGUGUCCAAGCCUCAGUGUGUUGAACGACAAUUCACCCUGGCAUUUGUUGUCAUUCCUGCUAGUCCAGG